rnacentral:lncRNA from 1 species
UGGACUUCCAGUAAUAGCUUGCAAUGAUAAAUCUGUGAAGUGUAGGAACCAACCAGAUUGCAAGACAACACAUUUUGCUUGUCUCUGUGAAGUUAACAAAAAGGUACCACUAUUAGAUAGAGAAUAUUUGAAGGAUCAAAAAUUA